rnacentral:rRNA from 1 species
UGGGGAAUAUUGGACAAUGGGCGCAAGCCUGAUCCAGCAAUGCCGCGUGUGUGAAGAAGGCCUGCGGGUUGUAAAGCACUUUAAGCGGGGAAGAAGGCUCUUGAGUGAAUAGCUUGAGGGAUUGACGUUACCUGCAGAAUAAGCACCGGCUAACUCCGUGCCAGCAGCCGCGGUAAUACGGAGGGUGCGAGCGUUAAUCGGAAUUACUGGGCGUAAAGCGCGCGUAGGCGGUUCGAUCAGUCUGAGGUGAAAGCCCUGGGCUUAACCUGGGAAUGGCCUUGGAAACUGUCGAGCUUGAGUGUGGGAGAGGGGCGUGGAAUUUCCGGUGUAGCAGUGAAAUGCGUAGAGAUCGGAAGGAACACCAGUGGCGAAGGCGGCGCCCUGGACCAACACUGACGCU